GCCGCCUUAGCUCAGUCGGCCAGAGCAGCUCACUCGUAAUGAGCAGGUCGUCGGUUCGAUUCCGACAGGCGGCUCCA
rnacentral:tRNA from 5 species